rnacentral:lncRNA from 1 species
UACCUUGGUAUGGCAAAGUAAAUAAAUCGGUCAUUGGUAAACUUGAAUGUGACAUUAUGUUUUGUUUUUUCCUGAACUAAAAUAUUGAUAUGAAUAUAUCUUUCCAAAGCUCUGAUAGGAGCAAUGCAGAAUAUUUAACCACGUGGCUAUCACCAGAAAAGUAAAAAAAAAAAAUACAUUCAGUGGUACAAUAAAUUCCACAACGGCUUGCCAUACGAAAUAGUUGUGUUUGCCAGAUAUCGGUCAUUGUCAAUUUGUGUUGUCCCUUAUACGCUUCUGUAGGAUUAAGUCCAUUCACAGGGAUCAAAUUAUUUUGGCAAAUUCAGGAACUAUUAAAAGAAUUUAAUAUUAAAUGGUUUAUAUUCAUUAAAUACUUCAAACUUUCCUUAAAUACUUGUCUGGGUCGAUAUAAGAUGGUCCGAGUUGACUUAACAUUAUAAGUCCAAAAUUUCUUGUGACCGACUUGUCCAAU